rnacentral:rRNA from 1 species
UAGCGACAGGCCUAACACAUGCAAGUCAGGGGCAGCACAAGGAGCAACCUGAGGUGGCGACCGGCGCACGGGUGAGUGACACGUAUGCAACCUGCCUGUAAGCGGGGAAUAACCCGUUGAAAGACGGACUAAUACCGCAUAAUACUAAAUUACUGCAUGGUAAUUUAUUUAAACAUUUAUGGCUUACAGAUGGGCAUGCGCAUGAUUAGCUAGUUGGAGAGGUAACGGCUCCCCAAGGCAACGAUCAUUAGGGGUUCUGAGAGGAAGGUCCCCCACACUGGUACUGAGACACGGACCAGACUCCUACGGGAGGCAGCAGUGAGGAAUAUUGGUCAAUGGACGAGAGUCUGAACCAGCCAAGUCGCGUGCAGGAAGAAUGUCCUUAAUGGAUUGUAAACUGCUUUUGCAGGGGAAUAAAGUGCAUCACGUGUGAUGUUUUGUAUGUACUCUGCGAAUAAGGAUCGGCUAACUCCGUGCCAGCAGCAGC